GUCUGUUGUGUAGUUAAAUGGACGCUGCGUCUGUUCAGUUUUUACCUCCUGUCCCUCACCAGUGCUAGAGAAUUGUGGUAUUGGACUAUUUUCUUUGGAGUAGAACUGUGGCGCGUCAUCCUUUCACAUCUUUCGGCCAGAUUGUAAUGAGAUCGGAGACAAAUUGACGGGCCAACAGACGCAAGAAAUAACCAAUUGGGCUUCUUGACGUAUACGCAAUAUUCACACAGAUGUAUUGAAGAACGACUUAUCUCUUGCUAACAUAAGAUACACACUCGUAAACGUCCUCUUCACACACUCAAACAGGUUCCUCUAACAGUGGUGAUGUGGACGACUCGGGCCUCUGGUGUGGGAUCUCUCUAUGGGGUCAUCUGCGGGGACCUCAUCCAAUGUAUAAGGAUCCUAUGCAGCUUCCUUCCUACGGCAUAGUGACCUCAAGUUGGGAGUCAUUAGAUAAAUAAGAUGUUACAACAAAACUUUGGGAAAUUGAACUGCUCCAUAACAGAUGAAAAUGAUAACUGGAGCAUGGAACGAGAGCUGCCACCAGCACUAUCACCAACACUACCAUCACCAUGGCACUAUCAUCACUGCCACCACCACAGCACCACCACCUAUGGCAAGAUGAGUUAACGACUAAACCUUAGGAAAUUGAGCAGCACCAUCACAGCUGAAAAUGAUAACUGCAAGCUGAGACAAAGAGCUAACAUUGUAGAAUUUAAUUCCUAUGAACACUAUAACACCGCCACUACUACCACAGCACCACCACCACCACAUAUGGCAAGAUGAGUUAACGUCUAAACCUUGACAAAUUAACAACUGGAUCAUGGAGACACUGCUGUUACAGGUAUGUCAAUAUCUCAAUUUUUCUAGGUAUGUCUAACUGUCUAUCUUUAUGUAUCUGUAUCUCUAUAUCUUUCUAUCAGUCUUCCAAAACCUGCAUGUCAGUCAGUCUGUCUGUUUGGUAUCUAUAUCAUCUGUCAGACUGUCUUUAUCUAUACAAGUUUCUGUCUCAUCUAUAUCUAUGCUAUCAGUCAGAAAGAUAUUGGCAGUGAGUGAGGAAGGUGGGUUCACAAGAAGUGCAAUGGAGUGGAUGGAAGACUGCAAGAUGUUGCUGAUUGUAAGUGAUAUGUAUGUGCAGGUAAAUAUGUGUCCAUGGCAAGACUGAAGAAAUUCAUCACUGAAGAUUAUCCCUGGAUUGUGUGGAUGAGUUCUGCUGCCUGGGUGACAUGAUCAGUGCUGGUGGGGGUGCUGAAGGCUGCUGUGUUCUGAGUCAUG